GUCAUACUCCCUCCGUCCCAAAAUUCUUGUCUUGGAUUUGUCUAGAUACGGAUGUAUCAAGUCACGUUUUAGUAUUAGAUACAUCCGUAUCUAGACAAAUUUAAGACAAGAAUUUUGGGACGGAGGGAGUACUUA
rnacentral:pre_miRNA from 1 species